CCAUCUCUCUUCGCUGACUCUCUUUUCGGACUCAGCCCGCCUGCACCCAGGUGAAAUAAACAGCCUUCUUGCUCACACAAAGCCUGUUUGGUGGUCUCUUCACACGGACGCACAUGACAUUUGGUGCUGUGACUCGGAUCAGGGGACAUCCAUUGGGAGAUCAAUCCCCUGUCCUCCUGCUCUUUGUUCAGUGAGAAAGAUCCACCUACAGCCUCGGGUCCUCAGACCAACCAGCCCAACGCUGACUCUCUUUUCGGACUCAGUCCGCCUGCACCCAGAUGUCUGAGAUUUUUCUGGCUUGGACCAGUGGAUGUUGAUGCCAUUCAGUAUAAGAGAGAAUCAUGGAAAAGCAGCAAAGUGGCAAGAUAAAUAAAAGGGUUGAUCUCCAUGACUGGAAUGUUUCUGUCUGCAGAACACUCAUCCGCUUUAAAAAGAAAGUAAGAAGACACUUGAGAAGCAGCAAAAUCAAUUAUGACUGUAUAGAACAGCUGAGACCAAAAGAAUGUGUCUACAUAAUUUCUUCAAUUGGAAUUUAUUCUGAUAUUAGCUAUUUAUGUAACUUUCUUCUACCGAACUCCAAGAAGCUGGAAAUAGGGAUUGUUUUUCACUCCUGUUUAUUUUAUUGAUUGAUUGAUUUUUUGAGACAGAGUCUUGCUCUGUCAUCGGAGCCAGAGUGCAGUGGCACAAUCUCGACUCACUGCAACCUCUGCCUCCCAGGUUCAAGCAAUUCUCCUGCCUCAGCCUCCUGAGUAACUUGGAUUACAGGUGUGCUCCACCAUGCCCAGAUAAUUUCUGUAUUUUUUGUAGGGACAGGUUUUCACCAUGUUGGCUAGGCUGAUCUUGAACUCCUGACCUCAGGUAAUCCGCCCAACUUAGUCUCCCAAAGUGCUAGGAUUACAGGCGUAAGCCACCAAGCCUGGCCUGACUACAUUCUGGAAUGAAUUCACUUUAGUAUGUAAUGUUCAGUAAAACAGUUAUCAUCCAUUAGUUUUAAGAACAACUGUAUAAAAACAAUCAAAUAUAUUAACAUUUUCUUUGAAUCUUUAAUUUUCAUUCAUCCUGAAAUCCUAGGUUGUGUUAAUGAUCUGAUAAUUUUUCUUUGCAGAAUUAAUAUACUAUACAAACAUACUUAAUUUGAUUCAGGAGAAAUUUCUACCAUGAGCAUGCCACAUUGUUAUUUCUCUAAUCUUUGCUGAUACACAAUUAUUUGGAUAUCACAUUUUCUAUUGCAAACUUCUCUCCAAAUUUCUUUCUGAAUUGUUAUUUAGAUUUCUUAGAUUUUGUUGUAACAAAAGACUUUUUAUAUUUUCAUUCUUUUUUUUCUACCCUUGUUUCCUGAUUUAUCAUUCUAGGAUCCUAUGAUCUAUAACUUUCCCUGAAAGAAUCAUCUUUAACCAUUUAAUUCUAAAUAUAUAAGUUAAAACGCACCUUUUUGAAAUAGAAUAGGGUGAUAAAUUUCUCACCUCUUCCAAAAAUAGUAUUCAAAACCUGCCAGCAUAAUGUUAAUUUCUAAUUUGAAUAAUUACAUCAUCGUUAAAAAGGAAAGUAAAACACAACUUUCUUUAAUUGGAUCUGUUUAUUGUUAAAAUGCAUUUCUAAAGAACAGACGGAGAAAAUGUGUCACAGAUUACGAAAUUAAAACAUUCUGUAAUCAAAUGUAAAAGUUAGUUUUAAACAACUCUGGAAAAUACCAUCUAGGAAAUAUAAAUUUUAAACAAAAUGGUAUGAAAAAUUGCUUGUGUUGCAUGUCCUCAACAUCCAAAUGGCUAUGACCUUCAUGCUAAAGGACAUUCUCUUUCCCUGAUAAGUUAACCUGAGUUGCUCAUCUAUCACUUGGUAGUUACUGAAGUUCCACAUCCUCAGCUUCCUAUGUUGAUUCUUUCUUCCCUACAGGUCUUUUUUGCUGGUGCCAUGCUCCUUCAGGUCAGAGCAUGGUCAGUUUCUCCUUCUUUUACAGGGUACAGCUUCACAAUAUCAUAUCAUAGUACAAACUGUUUCCUCAUUAUUUAAAGUGAUACAUUCUUUUAGUAGUUCAGCCCCUUUCCAUAAAGAAAUUGGAAGUUCCUUUUGAUUUCUCUUAUGAAUAGAUCAGGGAAGAUGCUAACUAAGUGGACCACAAAACAGAUUUUCCUCUUUACAGAUGGAAUCCAGUUUAUCUGGAAAAUUUUCAAUUGCUUUUUCUUUAUAUCUAUUAAUGUGAGAUUUUAUUGACUCAGGAAGUUGCCUGACAGGCCUAGUGGCAGUUUUUAUGACCCAAACUUGUUGCAGAAGCUCAACCCCUGGUAUUUCUGCCAACCUGCCUUUGUCCAGGGUAUAGCUUUUCCUAAAGACACUUUGAGGACCUAGGUAAAUAGAAACUCUCACAGCCUAUUUGAUAAUUAGAAAAAUAUAAGGGCCGGGGUCAGUGGCUCACACUUGUACUCCUAGCACUUUGGGAGGCAGAGGUAGGUGGAUCACUUGAGGUUAGGAGUUUGAGACCAGCCUAGCCAACAUAGUGAAACCUCAU
rnacentral:lncRNA from 1 species